rfam:Microbacterium sp. STBG005 Ion018_assembly_c5345, whole genome shotgun sequence.
GCUAUGAUGCCGAAGCCAGCCUGUGUUUACUCCGUUGACACAGGCGGUGUACGUCAUAACGUGCGUGAAUCAUUAUCAGAAGUCU